UUUUUUUUUUUUUUUCUUUUUAAAAUAGUAGAAAGGAGGGGCUGAUGUCGAAGUUUAUAAUUGGGAGGAGAAAAUGUGAAAAAAGAUAAAAAGAAAGAUGGCGCCAAAAGAAGUCUUAUGAGGAGAAAUUGCUUUUAAAUUGUUAGACCAAUAUACCUGCAGACUUCCAACUUUGGGACCCUCUUGCCCACUUCAAAAAUUAUGCUUAUUGUAAAAUAACUUAAAUAUAUACCGACAGCAUAAAUAAUAGUAGUAUUUCAUACCAAUAUAGAUCACAACAAAAUUAAUUAAUAAGUUGAUCUUAAUGAGGGAAACACUAAACAUAAAUUAAAUGAAAUGGUUUUAUCUUUAGUGAACAACACCAGAAUUUUCAACAAGGAGUCAAAAUAUUAAAAAAGUAAGUACUCAAAUAAGUUAAGAAAAUUUUACAUAUAAUAUAUGUACAUUAUUUGUUUUACUUAAUUUACACUAUAUAAUUAUUUAGUAAAGGAGUGCAUUGACACUUUUCAACAAGGACUAUCAGUAUGUGUAAGUUAAUUAGAAGGUACUCCCUCUAUCACAGUUUUAAGUGUCUUAGUUUGAUAGAACAUAGAGAUUAAAAAAUAAAAGUGAGAUUUUUUAAUUUUAUGACGUUAAAUUAAAGAAGUGUAUAGUGUUUUUUAUAAUCUUACACUUAUCAUGAAGGAGGUUAUUGGAAUUGUAAAAAUUACUGAAUAUAGAAAGAGAUAUUUUUUUAGAAAUAAACGAAAAAGAAAGUAAGACACUUAAAUUAAGACGGAGGAAAUUCUAUGAUAUAAUAAAAUAAACUCCAAACCCUUGCAUUAGCAUAGUUCUCUUAACAUGUAUGUAUUGGCUUGGUCUAUAUACCGGGUGCGUGUAAGUGUUUUCCCACCUUGUACUAUCCUCAAACCUGCCUCCCCUUUUCCAUUCCUAUACUCUUUUUUCUCUCUUGUUAAAUACUCUUUUAUUCUUUCUCUACUAUAUAUACAUACCAACACUUGACUUUAAUCUUUAAUUUACCUUUGUGCAUACCUCUCUCCUCCAACAAGCUAAGUGUUCAAGUGUAAUAUACCACAAUUAGGAGUCCAAGAUCAUAAUAAUGAAGGAGUGUGGGAAGAAUAGCAGCUCACCAUGUGCAGCUUGCAAGUUAUUGAGAAGAAGAUGUGGUCAUGACUGUGUCUUUGCACCUUAUUUCCCUGCUGAUGAACCCCACAAGUUUGCCAAUGUUCAUAAGGUCUUUGGUGCUAGUAAUGUCAGCAAGAUGUUACAGGUUCCACUUUCUAUAUAUCUCUUUCAAUUAUUUUCCAACUUAACUUUCUUUAAUAUAUAUGCAACUUUUUUCAAAAAAAAAAAAGGGCAAAUCUUCAUCUCUACUUCUAAUUGGGUAUCAACACCUUAGUUUUUGUUUAUGGGGUUUUCUCUAUGUGAAUUAUAGUUAGAGUCGUGGAAUCAGUCACUAAUACUUGCAUCAGGACUCGGGAUAGACCGAUUACAUCACAUCCCUCCUCUCUUGAAUGUUUCCCUUUUUUGGACCCUACAUGAGAGUAUACCAUACUUUUUUUCUGAUGUGGGUGGGUGAGGUGGGAUAGGAGGGGGGUUGUCAAUUAAGGGUAUAGAGUGUGAACACGAUUUAGCAUAUAAUAUAAUGACUUAAGAUAGAUCUAAAGAUAAGGUUGUUUAGCAAAAAUAUUGGACACAGAAGUUACACAUGCACUUGGUCUAUGAACAUGCUAUAAUAGAGAAGAGAUAAUGUAUUUAACAGGUCACAUGCAAUAAAAUCCAAAAGGUAAGCAUAACAGACAAGUAUAGAUGAUAAAUAAUGUAUCAAACUUCUUUCCUAUUCUCAAUACUGCUACUUCAUUUUCUCCAAGUAUAUAAAUAUAGUCCAUGUUUGUCUACCCUAAUUAGCUAAAUUAAGUCCUCUAAUUCAAAUUAUAUAUUUUGGAGUUUUUUUUUUGUUUUUUAAAAGGCACUAAAUAAUGUUCAUGAUUGAGCCUACAGUAUAAAAAGUUGCCGUUUUAACCCUAUUUAAUUUAAUGUGUCCCUCUUGCUACUGGUCAAAUGUGCCAAACACUCGCAUAAGAAAACCAAUGUACAACGUACUAAUUGUUUCUUGCUUUUCAAGUUAAAAUUAGCCCCUUAUAAGGUAAUUAGGUCAUAUUUUCUUUGAUUAUAGUUUCUUUUUUCCUUAUUAAAGUUUAAAUUAUGAUCUUUUGUUACUCAAGCUUCUGCUUUUCUAAGCUCUAUUUUGGCGGUAAAAAGAUAACAAGCAAGUAAUUAUACUUUAUAUAAAGAAUAAAUGUUUGCUGAACACCUUUUUCAGGCUCCUGUGGUCAUAUUUUCAGGUUCUUUUACAACUAGAAAAAAAAACAUUGCAUUAAGUGAUUAAAGUUUCACACUGAUCUUAGAUUCAGUAGUGAAGCCACAGUACUAACUGCGGGUUCAACAUAAAUCAGUAAUUUUGACUCAAAGUUUUAUAUUUUUAUUAAAUUUUUUCAAUAUGUACGUACAAAUAAUUUAAUUUAUUCAGAAUCUAGGUAAAAAGAGUUAUGAUUAAUUUAGCAAUUUGUGGGGUCGUUAGAGGGGAACAAAGAGAUGUUUGUUAGUUGUUGAAAAACCGUUUCACUAGUCAAAUGUGGAAAAAGAUUGAACUAGUCUAUGUUUAUGGUCCCACAAACAAUCAUGCUCCUCCGCUUCAUUUUAAUUGAUCUCUUAUUAAAAACAUUUAAUUAUUCUAUUUAUGAAAUAAAAAAGAUUUUAUUAUAUUCUUUCAAUACUAUUUGUGUUAUUAAAUAACUAUACAAAGUGUAUAUAUUUAAAUUAAAAUUUUAAAAAUAUAAUUAAUAAGACUAAUUUGAUAAAAUGCACUCUUAAUAAACAUAGGAUCAAGACAGGAAUUAGUAGAAAAUUUUUGACUAUUGAAUAUGAUGAAUGAGGUUCAAUGUAGAACUAAUUUGGAGCCAUAAACUCCAUAUCCAACUGUUUUUCUUUCUUUGUAAAUUAUUUAUUUACUUAAUAUUUGAAAGUCAACUAAUUUAUUCAAUAUGAAUUUGGUCACUAUCACAAUAUAUAGUAGUACUUUUUACAACUGAAUUUUCAAGUGGACACGUGAUAUUUUUCCAAUCGUCAUUUCUCAUAAAAUUUCGGGGGUGGUUAAAUGGUCUCCUAUUUUAACAAUUAAAGGCCAAAAGAAUCAACUUACUCCAAGAAAACAAACACACACAUUUGUUCUUUUGACCACAAAUAUAGUGUUGUUGAUAGGUACAUAUCACCUCUUAGCCAUAAUUAAAGACUUCUCUGGUUUGACCUCAUUUUAAAAAGGUGAUUUCUCUUUCUCUUUUUCCUUUUUUUCCUUUCAUCUUUUUCAACACACACUCCAUUAGCUAUUUUCAGAAAAUUUUAUGACACAAAAAUGAUGUCAAUAUGACAUGCCUUUGGAACUCAAUACUCUCUUAGGUCCUCAAAGUACAACCCAAGCCCAUUAAUUAGCAUGCCAAUCAUAUUAGUAAGCCCAUAAGGAUUCUGUCACCAACUUACAACAAAGACUGUAUCACAAACUACACUACAUUCGUUUCAUUUGGUCUACAAUAAAAUACAUUAUACAGAAUUUUGCCCAUAGUGUAGUUAUUAUGAUCUGCAUUUGUAGCCAAAUUUUGGAGUGAGUUAAUUAAAGUUCAAAUCAAAUGGUGUAAAAUUGCAGGAAUUGCCGGAGCAUAAGAGAGGAGAUGCAGUGAGUAGCAUGGUGUAUGAAGCAAACGCUAGAGUUAGAGAUCCAGUGUAUGGAUGCGUAGGAGCCAUUUCAUCUCUCCAACAGCAAAUCGAUAUGCUCCGGACUCAACUGGCCAUGGCCCAAGCUGAAGUGGUCCAAUUGAGGCUAAGACAAUCCACAGGCAUUAUUAAUAAUAGCCCACCAAAUAAUGACUCUCCCAUUACGAGCUCCCAGCCCAAAGGAUAUUCCCAUUUCCAUAUGGAUUUAGAUGUAGACCAGUCCAACUGCUUCAAUGAGCCCAUGUGGCCAUAUUAGUAAAUGAGUUUCGUCUAUUUUAAGUUCAAAAAUUCCCAUGUGUCCUUUUGCCUCUAUAUCUUUUUCUUAUAAAGGGCAAAGGUGAUGAUUAGGUUGCUGUUUGUGAGUGUGUUAGAAUGAAAUCAAACCCUUUAUGGGGUGUAUUAGCAUGAGUUCAUACAAAACCCUUCAAGUGGUGUUGGCCUUUUGGCCAAAUUGAUUAUACUAUUAUCUUUGUUCUUGUGUAUAUAUGUAACUACUAUAGUAUGUGAUAGGACAAUUUUCAUAAGGGGACAGUGUGUUUAUUUUCCAAACUUGUUGGAAGAAAGUCCCUUUUUACAAUUGACGAAUCAUAAAACUCAAAACUCUUAUUUAACAAUUUGAUAUCUGAAUUUCAUUCGAGAGUCUAUUCGAAACAACCUCUCCACAUUUGAAGUAGGGUAAGGUUCAAGGAUCGAUUCAGGAUUUAAAGGUUGUGAGUGCUCACUUUCUUUAAGGAAAAAAAAAGUGUGUUGCUACCAGAAAUUAAACCCACGCCACUUCAGGCAUCAAGGUGCUUUAGUUUCACACCGAAGCCAAAGCACCCAACAACCACUUUUGUUUAUGAGUGCUUAACGUUACAUCAUAACCGAUUUUACUGUAUUUUCUAUACAAAUAACAAAAAAUUUACCAGAGUCAGUGGGUGCUCAAGCACCUGGAAAAGAUGCAUGCAUCCGCCCCUGGUAAGGUUUGCGUACACUCUGUUCUCCCGAGACUAUAAUCCAUUUUAAGGUGGGGAAGAACUCCCUUGCAAAAUUUCUUUUCUCUAGAGUUUGAAUCGAGGUCUCUACUUAGGAUAAAGUGAUCUUAUAUGUCCCUCCACAUCAGUUGGUGAUGAGACGACAAUAUGUAUUGAUACUUACAAGACAAAACAACUUUCCCAAUGAAUCACCAAAACGCUACAUAUAGAGCUAAUUAAUAAGAAUCCACCACAAGAUCUACACAUAGUAUUUAGGAAAUUCUCAUUGUUUCAUAAUAUAAACAAGUGAAAGAGCAAUUAGACAUUAGAGUCAAUGAGUUCUCCAUUCACUAACUCUCUGUAAGCAGCAACAGGCCAGAUGAAGCCUCUCCAGACAAGCCUGUUAGCCAAUGGAACAUCAAUGAUGAUCUCCUUCAUUGUUGGCUUCUUCUCAUCUCUUAUUGCAAUCAAGUAGCUCCUUCCUACCCACCCAAUCCAUCCAGCAAUGUACAAGAAGAGGAUCCCAGGAGUGAUGAACUCACCCCAAUGCCUCUGGUCUCCACUCACUAUCAGGUGUGGCAGUCCAUCCGAUCCACACAAUAGUCCCUGUUUCGCGUAGUUGUCAAAUCUGCAAUGACAAUAGUUGAGUGAAUUUGUGUAAGUGAAAUAAAACUAGUUAUGUGACUUCUCCGUUACAAAAUAAAGUUGAGUGACUUUAUCAAGAUAAUUUCCGUUAGUUGAGUAAUUUCAAAGGAGUUUUGUCCUUCACUGGUGAGGGACAGCGAGACAGUUGUGCUUAUAUACAGAAGCACUUCUUCUAGCUCUUAAAGAAUUGAGAAGAGAGUCUUCCCGGCGCCAUCGUUGUCCCUCAGCUGGCUUGGGCUUGAAUUUGAAUUUAUGAUGUGAUUGACUGAUAUAUUUUUGGAUCAAAUUUAUUUAGUUAAUAUUUAUAUUUCAGUAACAUUUUUGUAAUUAAUUCCCAUGUUAUUGUUUUGUCGUAGCCAUAUUUUUCGUAAACAACCAUUUUCGCAAAGAACCACCAGGAAGAGUUGCAUCUCUUCGUUUGAGACUAGACUUCUGCUUAUAUAUAUCUGUCCUUUAAUUCAGAUUUUUACUUACGAUUUUUUUUUUAAAUAUUUCUCGCAUAUUACUUUCUGCUCUGCGAAGUAAAUUUGAAGUGUGAUUCAACUGUUCUUAAUGUUCGUUGAACACCGGUGUUUGAAGUAUCUUUGCACAAGUGACAGUAAUCUGCCCUAUCUUGGGAGGAAAUAAUCUUAUACCUCAGGUAUUAGGAACACUAUGAAUUUCAGGAGGCUCGAAUUAGUUUCAGCUUUCAUCUCAUGUAUAUUUUGUCAAGUCUUAGUUUCCAGGAUUUAUUUGGUUACUAACAGUAUUUGUGUUACUAAACAAAAUUCGAAUGAUCAUAUGCGAAAUUAACUCUAUGAUAAGGAAUUACAUAGAUGGAUUAAAUAAAAAAUGAUUACUAGGGGAAAAUGGAAGGUGAGACAAACCUGCGCUUAGUUUUCUCAAUAGUAGCAUUAAUAGCAAGUGCAGGAGCACUAUCAGGUGCAUAUAGCUUCAAAGAAUUCUCAAGCUUCUUGAUCUGUUGCUUCUCCCUCUUAGCAAACUGCUUUGACUCCUUGCAAGGUGUGAGUCCAGAGAUGUCAGCAGAAGCUGGAAGCACUGGUGCUGACAACAGAAUUGAAGACAAAGCAAGUGCUGCUGAGAAUACCUUUAAUGAGGAAGAUGUUUCAUCUGUUUUAGUAGAAGCAGGAGUUUGGUUUGAAGAGCAGACUAUUGUUGAAGUUCUUGGUUUUGUGGUAAACUGAGAACUAAACUUAGAUGAUGUUGAAAUGGGUUUUGAAAGGUUUGCAGGAAUUGUGAGAGACAUGGUGUUUUCUCCUCUCUCUUUUUAUGGUAUUAUUUUCAAGAAAAAAAGAGAGGAAGGAGGAGUGGAUUGGAGUGUGGAGAGUGAAAGGAUGUUUUUUUAGGAUAUUUGGAAGAAAGGAUUGGUAUUGAAGAGAGAGGAUAAAGGAGUUGAAGGGGAGCUUAGGUGGAGGGAUUUGAUUGGCUAAUUGAGUUGGAUUUUGUGAGAUUGGUGGAUUUUGCUGAAACUUUAUCUAUCUGUGAAAGAGCAAGAACCAGGGAUGUAACAGAUACAGAUACGCCUCCUUCGGAGCCAUAUUAUCCCUUGGAAUAGCUAGUAAGUUGCUGCCCACGUAAUCAGGAGGUCAUAAGUUCAAGUUUUGAAAACAGUUUCUAAUAAAAAUACAAGGUACGACUGCAUACGAUACACCCUUGUGGUGGGGCCCUUCCCUGGAUACCGCGCAUAGUGGUAAUUUUAGUACACUGGACUGUCCUUUAUUGGCAAAAUGGCUAAAUGGAUCCUUGUACUAUGUUCGUUUUGUAAUGUGAACACUUCUACUUACAUGUUUGUCAUCUGAAUCGUUGAAUUAAUUAAAAAGUAAUAUUUUAAGCCCUUUAUCGGUCUACUCCUUUGAACGUGUUGCACAAUCACGAACAUGUCAUCAAAUAUUUGAAAAUAAUUUUCACAUAUGAAAUAACGUGUCCAAGGUAUAAAUAGAAAAGUAAGUCCGAAAAAUUAAGUCAUUUUAGACCCUUCUUCUUCGUCUCUUUCAUCCAAAGUUUAAAAUUUCCCCUAUUUUAACUUAAUUUAGGUAGAUUGUUGUUGGUGGUUGUUGCAAUCCGUGUAAGUAUUUAAUAUUUUGUGGUAACUGUAGUAUUUCGUAGUUUAUUUCAGGCUCUUUUGUCGAUGUAAUGAAGUCCGUUUUAGUAAUUUUAGGAUUUUCGCCAUUAUGAACUUUUUUUUCAAUUUUUUGGGUGGUUUUGCUCUAUUUUAUAUCUAGUGUUGUUGUAGGUAGUAUGUGUAGUGGUGAUAUGCCUUCAAUGACAUAUUUUGAAAUUUUGAUCAAAAUUUAGAGUUUUUUCGUAAAAUGGUAAUUGGGUUCGAAAAUUUUUGAGCUUUUAAUUUUUUUUUUGUUGUCUAAUGCUCCUAUUAUACCUAUAUAUUACAGUUUUGUGCCUUCAAUGGUGUAUUUUAUUAUUUCGAUUACAUUUUAAAUUUUUUUUGGUAAAUUUAAAAUUAGGUUCGAAAAUUUUGGGGCUUGUGAAUUUUUUGUUGUUUAAUGCUCCAAUUAGAUGUGUGUAUAACAGUUUUGUACCUUCAAUAGCAUGUUUUGUUAUUUCGAUUACAUUUUAAAGUUUUUUUUUUUUGAUAAAAUCAGAAUUGGGUUUCUUAUUCCUUUAUUUUUUCUUUAAAAAUUAGGUCUUUAUGGAUAAUUAACUAAUUAUAUAUAUUAUCUUGUCAUUGUACAGAUUUUCUAAGUAAAUGGACACAAUUGUAACAAUUCAAUUCACCUAUAGGGGGGUCUUUUUGUCAGACCCUGAUCUAAGGUAUGCAAAUGAAGUUUGUAUUCUUGAAAAAAUUAGAGUAGAUGUAGAUGAGCUUCAUAUUAUGUUAUUUCAUAACUUAGCAAUAGAUUUAGAUAUGGAAAAAAAUAAAACUUUUUGAUGUAGAGUAAAUAAAAAGGGUUAUUAUUAUAUGUUAGAUAGUGAUGCUGAUGUUUUAAGAUUUAUCAAUAGUUUAAAAGUUGGAGAUUUUGUUAAUAUAUAUGUUGUUCACCAUAUUAGUGAACUUAUAGUUGUUAAUGAAGAUGUGACAGCUACUCCAUCAUUAUUACUACUUAGCAAUAGUAAUGUGGCAGCCCCUUUUAAAACUGAUAAGGUUGUGUGUCUUCAUCUCAUCCGUUGAAUAUAAAUGAAGAUGAGUAUAUAAAUGAAAAUCAGCCUCCUAAGGCAGACAAAGGAAAAGCUAAGGUUUCUUUAGAAGACUUAGGGGAAAGUCAAGUUAAUGAUUUCUCCACAUACCACCUUCAAACAUCUGAUUCUGAAUUAAAUUUUCAGACCACUGAUUCUGAUGUUGAUUCACUUUAUGAUAUUAAUGAAAAUAUUGAAGAGGAGUGAUUUUGACAAAGAGUUGCUUUAAGUUAGGAAGUCUAACAUUGAAAAACAAGCAAAAGAAAAGGCUGAUAGGGUAAAUCUAGAUGAGAUACCAUCUGAACUAGUAGGUAUAAAUGCUGGUUUUGAGGAAAUUUGUAAGAACAAGGGGGUUAGAUAUGAAAGUAAACUGGGUAGGGAUGACCCUUAUUUUGGUAGUUUAAAUUCGAAUAGUAACAUUAGUGAAGAGGAAGGAGAUCAUGUUGAUGAUGAUGAACUGGUAGAUCCACUACCUAGAACUUCAUCUAGCAAGAUCUACUUUGAUGAAACUGCAAAGAAGAUAUAUUUUUAGUUGUACAUGAUUUUUUGAAUGCUGUUGAAUUUAGAGAGGUACUGCAGACUUUAUUCAAAAAAAUGUGAACCUUAAAUUAAAACCUAAUAAAAAGAAAAGAGUAAAGGCAAAGUGUAAGCAUAAGGAUUGUUCUUGGGUUAUUCUUGAAAGUGUUGAUAACACAAAAAAUUUUAGUGUGAAAACAUACUUUCUUAUCCACAAAUGUUCUAAAAAGACAAAAAAUGAGAUGUGAGUGAUUCAUCAAUAAAAUUGCAUCAGAUUCAAACACUUUUAAGAAAGGACUAUGGAUUGUAUGUUAGUAAAACAACCCGUAGAAAAUCAAAAAUUAAAAUUAUGAAUGAAUAUUUUGAUGAUUUUGUUGAAGAGUUUGCUAGGUUGUAUGACUAUGCUGAAUAGUUAGGAUCACCAAUCCUGAUACCACUGUAUCUACUAGAACAUCCAAGAAUUCAAUUCCAAGGUGGUUAUAGGCAUUUAUAUUUGUCUUGGGGCCUUAAAAAGUGGAUGAAAAGAGGGUUCUAGAAGAAUAAUUGAUUUAGAUGGUGCCUUUCUCGAGGGUGUAUAUAAAGGUAUCUUGUUGUCUUGUAUUUUCAAAGAUAAAAAUAAUCACAUGCAUCCUGUAGCAUGGGCAGUGGUUGAUAAAGAAACCAAGGACAUAUGGUCUUGAUUUCUUAGGUACAUCAACCAUAAUUUGAAACUUCGAGAAAAUGGGGGUAAAGGCUUGACAUUAAUAUCUGAUAUGCAGAAGGUAUGAAGUGUCAUAUUUUUUUUAGUUAUUUUUUCAAUUUGCUUAGUGAUGUCAUGAAUGUUUAACUACUGUUUUACAUGUUUUGAUAGGGUCUUCAUUUGGCACUUACUAAGCUACUGUCAAAUGCUGAGCAUAGAUGUGCUAGACAUAUAUGGGCAGACUGAAAGCAGGUUUGGAGAGGUGAAAAAAGAAGGAAAAAAUUCUAGCAGGUUGCAAGGGCUCGAUUUAAAGUGUAUUUACAACAAAAAACUUAAUAAAAUGAGUGAGUUAGAUGUUGAAAUUGUGAAAUACUUGCUCAAAUACAACAAAGAGGCAUGGUGUAGGAUUUUUUUUUAAAGAAUAUAGCAGGUGUGAUGUGGUUGAGAACAACAUGUAUGAAACUUUCAAUAGUUAAAUUUUAGCUGCUAGGUUCAAAACAAUUAUCACUAUGUUGGAGAAAAUAAAAUGCAAAGUCAUGGAAAGAAUGAAUCAAAUGAGAAAUUUUUAGAAAAAUGAAUCAGUGAUGUAUCACCAAUGGAUAUGAAAGUUCUUGUAGAGAAUAAUAUGCAAUCAAGUGUGAGGUAAGGUUUAAUGGUGAUAUAGGCUUUGAGAUUGGUGAUCCACCAUAAACACAUGUUGUUAAUGUGAAGAGGAAGGAAUGUAGUUGUAGGUCAUGGCAACUAAAGAAAAUUCCUUGUGCACAUGCAAUUGUUUCAAUGCAUUACAAGGGAUAGAAUGUGGAGUCAUUUGAUAAGCACUGGUAUCAAUGAAAAACAUACUUGAAGGCAUAUGAUAAGUAUAUUCAACCAAUGACAAAUAUAAAGAUGUAGCUAAGAAGCACAAGACCACUAAUUGAGUCACCUGAGAUUACUGCCAUGCCACGAAGGUCAAGUAAAAAUAGAAAGAAAGCUAAGGAUGAGUCUAUUAAGAAAAAGUUUAGGAAGGCUACAAAAAAAGAAAGAAAAAUGACAUGUUUUGUGUGCAAGUCUAUUGGAGACAACAAGAAAGGAUGUCCAAUUUUGGUAACCUAAAACUUUUCUUAUUGAUGAAUUUUACUCUUUUUGAAUGUGUUUUUGAUCUUUAAAUAUUUUUUUGUAGAAAAAAGAUUUCAGUAGUAGCUGUGGCAGUCAACCAAGUGUGCAAGCUGGUGCUAGUACUGUUGCUGCUGAGAGACCUGCAAAUGCUUCAGCAGCUGAAGACAUGCCUGCAAAUGCUAAACCAAGAAACAGAAGGCCUGCAGGAAGGCCAACAAAUGCUCACCGUGUACCAAGAGCUGCAGAAAGGCCUGCAAAUGUUGCAUCAGUUGGUGGUGUGAGGCCUGCAAGUGCCUUAACAACUGAUAUAAGGCCUGCAACUGUUGUGAUUCCUGCAACCACUUCACCAGUAGAUGAUAAUACUACACAAUCUACAACUCAGUAGUCUACUAGUGGUGUUGGUGUCCAAAAGAGGAGGACUAGUACAACUUUGAGAGGUGGUGCAAAUCUUGCAUAUAAAAGAUCAAGGCAAAACAAAAUUAAUUUUGUUGUGCUGUUUGGACUAAGUGGCAACGUAGUGGAGAGGGUAAAUUUUCUAUCAUGUAAUUUUCAUUUAACUGGUAUUAAUUAGUGUAUCUAUAACUGAUUUUUUUUAUUUUUACAGUUUGAAAAUACUGAUAGAGUGUUACAUAAUCCAACACUUAUUAGUUCAGUUCCAAUCAAUAUUGACUUGGGUUUCAAACCAAAUAGACUGAGGCGGAAAGGUGGAGCUGCAGUAACUCAAAGACAACUACAAGAACAGAGUUACAACAGAUAAAACACAAAAUCAUCUACAACCACUCAAGCCACAUCAAGCACUCAAGCCAGCAAGAAUCAGGCCACAACAAGCACUCAAGGAACACAUUAGUGUAAUUCUCUUUUUGUAUUGAUCCCAAGUGUUGUUAAGAUAAUUUUUUAAGACUUCUGAUGCAUUUCUCAUUAAAGAUGUUGUUAAGACAAGUUUUUUCAUUUCAACUCUUGCUAACACAUUAUAUAUUGAAGAUUUCUAAGUUGGCAAAAUGGUGUUUGUCAUUAAAUUUGAAUUUCAUUUUCAUUGUACAUUGCAACUACAAAAAUUAAGUCAUCUUAAAUAUAAUAGAUAGAAAUCAGAUGACAACAAUAAUAAUAGUGAUAUCAAUGCUAGUGCUUGAUCUUUCAUGUCUUUCAUACCUUUCAUAUCUUUCCAGUCCUUCUUGUCUUCGUUGCCUUCUAUGUCUGCCUUUAUAUUAUUUAUUUUCAUCAGCACAUCAAAAGAAUCCACAAUCAUUAGCAACUUCAUAUUUUUGACAGCUCCAAAAUAUUUUUUCGGGGUUGAUUGGUAUUCUUGAAUCUUAAUUUCAGCGUAAAGCCCACAAUAACAUACCCGAACUGUCAUGGUGUUGUGAAAAAUUACAUAAGAUAUUAACAUUCCAAUAUUACAAACAGAACAGGAAAAAAAAUUAAGAAACAAGAACUUAGAGAGAGAAAAAUGGAGAAGAAGGGAGAAAAAAAAGCUCAAAUUGCUUCAAUAAUGAUGUUGGAAGCAUAUGAGGAAGAAGUAGCAUUUAUAAGGACUUUAUGACUGUUGGGGGACUUUUUUCGAUGGCUUACGUGCGCUUGAAGGCUAAACUAUUUGCUCCUAUGUGAUUCCAGCCACAUUGGAUGCCACAUCAAAAAAAAGUAUUUAAAAUGUUCAUUUUUAGUGGGUUCAAGGAUUCAGAUGAUAAACAUGUAAGUAGAAGUGUCUACAUUACAAAACAGACAUAGUACAAGGGUCCAUUGAAUUAUUUUGCCUUUUAUAUUUCAAUCUUUCUUUCUCACUUAUAUUUUUAGCUCUUAUCUUAAGGGGUGUUUAGCCAUAAAAGUUUUAAUAUUUUUAGAAAGAUCAUGUAAGAGUAAAAAAUAAUAUUUAAAAAUUAAAAUUGUGUUUUGAUCAUAAAUAUAAAUUGGAGGCGUUUUUGAAUUACUUUUCAAAUUUCAAUUUUUUGAAAAGUAUUAUCACAAGAUCAUAUACAAAAAAAUUGAUUUUCACUAAGAGAGUUAAAAAAAUUGUAUUGCUUGAGAUUUGAAUUUAGAAUUUAAAGUGAAUUUUGAAUUUUCUAAACUAUUGAUCCUACUCUAAUUUAUUGUUUAGGGUAUUGAAAAAAAAAAACUAUAUAGCUAGACAUUAAUUCUGCUAAUAUAUGCAGUAACGAGAUGAGCCUCGCCAUAGUACCAAAUUUAUAUGAAUUUAUUUAUGAUUAAUUAGGAGUUGUUAGAUUAAAAAAGUGAACAAAAAUGAAAGAGUUGAAAAAAAAAAGAGAAAUAUGAAAAAAAGAGUGGCUAGCCAAGAUUUUGUAGUUAUAUAGUUUUCUUUAAACAGUCUAUAGCAUCAAUGAUUUAGGAAAUUUAAAAUUCACUUUAAAGUUCUAUAUUUAAUCUCAAGUAUUUUUUUUUUUUUGAUUAUGAGUAGCAUCAAUGAUUUAGGAAAUUUAAAAUUCACUUUAAAGUUCUAUAUUUAAUCUCAAGUAUAUUUUUUUUUUGAACUCUUUUAGGAGUCGUUUGGUACACUGAAUGUGAUAAAUAAGAAUAUCUAAGGUGGGAUAUUUCAUAAGAUUAUUUUAUUCAUCUCUCUCCGUGGGACAGUAAUCUCAUUAUCUUAAUAUAAAUGGUGGAAUAAAAUAAUUUUGAAAUUAAGUAAUACCUUAUAUCAAAUAUGGGAUAAAGUUAAUUCUAAAUUUUAUCCCAAAAUUAUUUUUUAUCCCUUCUACCAAACGAUUCCUUAGUGAAAAUCCACAAUCUUUUCAUAUCUGGGUUUGUGAAAAUAUUUCAGAUAAAUUAAAAUUUAAAAAAUAGCAAAAAUUAUUUCUAAUCUAAGUUAUUCCUAAAAACUCAAAAACACUUGCAAUUCGUAUUUAUGAUCAGACAUAACUUUAAUUUUUAAAUAAUAUUUUUUACUUUUAAAUAAUUUUUAAAAAAUAUUUACACUUUUCAUGACUAAACACUCCUUAAAAUAAAAACUAAAAUUUGAGUGGGGAAGAUAGAAAUAUAAAAUAAGGAGGCAAUAUUCAAAAAAAAAAAAAACAGGAAACAGAAGGAAAUGUGAGGAAAUAUUGGGAGAGGAACAUUUGCUAAUACAAUGGACCCCACAAGAACAUAUGUCAAAAGCAAAAAGACCCUUACAUAACUAUUGUUGGGUGAGCCUCACCCAUUUUAUAAUUUUCCAUCACCGAAACUACAGAUCAUAUGCUACUGUCAUUUGCACUUUUUCCCUUGAAAUAAAUAAUAUUUUAUAAGUUUAUAAUCAUUUUAUAAUAAUAUUUCAUGAGUUAUGGUCCUCUCCUAUAAGGUAGUUGUCCCAGUAGAUAUAAUUUCAAUUGCGAAAACUCAAAAUUCGAUGGGCGAAUUGCAAUUAAAUGACCUAAUUUGUCAUGUCAUUUGAGGACAAAAUGUUUGCAUGGAUUGUUCUUGUUUUAAAGUGGUUUUCAAUUUUUGCAAUCAAAAUAAUAUAGUUGAAUUUGUUUAAGUGUUUUAAGGGCACGCGAGUUAGAUUGAUUAUAAAAAUGAAAUAACAAUGAAAUGAAUCACAGCAACAAGAUGUAAUGAAUACAAAGCAAGAAAAUAAUUAAAUUAGAUCCUAAAAUUGGGCCUAGGUGGCUUUGGUAUUCUCUGUCCGAAAGCUGAUGAAUUGAGAAACUGAGAGCCUUUUCUUAAGAAGAGAAAGUAUGUAUGAACAAGUGUGUCUUGUAAAAACUUUCAGAGCCUCGAAUGUUUGAUUCCUAAGUGUGUCACUGUCUUCCAGUUGAGCAGUAGCACUUUGGUUGUCGGGUUGGAAAGAUUAUCUUAUCAUCAUUACUAGUUACUGUUUCUGUAUCAAGAUUCUACCUUUCUGAAGUUAGACAGGCCAUGUUAGUAAGGCCGGUACCAAUGUCGAGUAUUAUAGGAUCCCUCCAAAAUUGGACAUCACUCCGAGCUCGGUCUUUUGGAAGGGUUCUUCUGGUGCUCCCCAAUAGUCCCUUCAUAGUCAGACGCAUGUAUCACAUCUUUCAUGUCUUUUUUUUUUGCAACAAAUGUGAAUAUUAACAUCAACAAAACAGUCAUAUAAAAAUAAUUUUUUUUUAAUUUGAGUCUCAUAUGUCAUGUAAUAGUUGUAUGAGGUCUUUAAUAUUUGACGAAAUACAUAUACAGGCCCUUGAAAUAUUUCACUUUUCCCGUUUAGACACCUAAAUUAAGAAAGGUACCUAUUGAACCCUUUACUCCUUCAGAAAUGGUUUCAAUUGAGCCCAAUUCUCCGAUGUGGCAGUUUGCGUGUACUCACAUCUGGGAGGCGCGUGAAAUGUCAUGGAACCAGCUUAUGUGGCACCCAACGGAUCUUUUAUCCUCUUUUUAUACCCAAUUUCUUAAAAAAAAAAAACCCUAAUUCCCACUUUCUUCCUCUUUUUAUACUCAAUUCUUAAUAUCCACCAUUUUUGUCUCCUAAAUUCUCCUUCUCCUCUUAAAUUUCUUUUCAGCCUUUUCUCUUGCUUCGCUUAAACUCUCCUACUCUUAUUAAUUUCUUCUUCUUACUCGUUUUUAGUAGUAAUAUCCAAUUCAUCUUUUUCAUUGUCUUCAUCUUCUUUAAUUCCAAAAGGAGUAUGUUUAUGUGGGGUGAAAGCUGAAAUUAAGACCUCGUGGACACAACUCAACACUAGUGGGAGAUUCUUUUACUGCAAAACUUCAAAGGUAUUCAUCUUUUGCUGCUUCAUUGGACGAAAUGCAAUUACUUCGAUUAGUGGAUGCAAUUUUUUAAUUUAAUUUUUUCUUUAAACCUGUAGGCGAGAGGUGGAUGCAAUUACUUUGAUUGGUAUGAUGAUGAAAUGCCCCCUCAAGCAAAGAGGGUGAUGUGGGGUUUAUUAAAAAAAUUCAAAUCAUUUGAAGAAGAGAGGAAUCGAUCAAGAAAAUUUAAAGUGAUAUGCGUUGGGGCGAUUGUGAUUUUGGCUACAUGGAAUUUCUUCAAGAAAUGUUCUUAGAUUUUGACAAAUAUUGGCUUAGGUUUCUUAUAUAUAGGACUGUUUUGAUUUGGAUAAUUCUGAAAUAUAUUAGUUGUAUUGGGACUGUUUUGCUUUGGCUUUCUUGUUGUAGUGGGAUUGUUGUGUAUGAAACAAUUAAGAAGGAAUGAAGAUAAGUUGUGAAAUGUUACUCUCUUACUAUGUUUUGAUUUUUCUUUACUUUUGUAAUUGGUUUAGUUAGAUUAUUGUACUCUAUUUUUUUAGAGUUCAAAUAAUUCAUUUAAAUGAUUCAAAGCUGUCAAAUGUUUAACACAAAAGGAACUACCAUUCAAUAAUUAUAUAAAGCACAAGUGCAACUGAUCGACAUUUUAAACACAAUAAUCUACCAUUCAACUGCUCAAAAUGAGCUCCAACCAUACAUCAAGUGUUCAUCCAAAACUAAUCUAAACAAACCACAAAAAAUAGUUCAGAAUCUUUAAAAAUCCCAACAAAAUACCAAAGUAGCCAUACAACUAAUAACCAAACUAUACAUUGUGCUAAAAACACAAUUAAUUCAACAACUUCAGAUUCCUCCUGGUGCACUAGAACUUUCAAGUUGGCUUCUUUUUUUACUGACUCAUACUCUGCAAUUGAGAAGUUGUGACGACAUUCUUUUCCUUCCACUUCAUUCCUCGAGGCUUAUAACCAAUAUCAAUAUUUGUUUGAGUUACAUCUUUGUAAACACCCAGAGUGACAACUGUUUCACUUCUAGUUCCAGGUUGUAUAAAAUGAAGUAAAAUUAGAUUUGUCAAAAGAUAAUUAAAAAUUACAUGAAUUGAAGUUGUAAUUCACACUUACAUUUAAUGUUUUACUGCAACUCAUUUGAUCAGUGUAGAUACCAAAUCCUACUGUCUUAGACCUCUUUUGUCCUACUGAUGAUGUUGAUGCUCCAAUGGUCAUUUUUUCCUUAAGUUGCUGAUCAGAUACACUUUCUUUUCCUCUACUUCUGCCAGUGCCUCUUCCAGAUCCUUUGCCUUUGCCAGCUCUCCUACCUUUGUCAGUAUCUCUACCUCUACCUCUACCUCUACCUCUUCCAGCUGGCUGCACUCUUAUAACUGCUGAGGUAUCAACACACAUAGAACUGCUGAAGCUUGGUUGCUGGCUGAAGCUUGGUGGCCUGCUAGAGCUUGGUGGCCUGCUAGAUCUUGGUGGCUAGAUGAAGCUUGGUGGUUAGCUAAAGAUUGGUGGCCUGCUAAAGCUUGGUGUCUUGCUAGAGCUUGGUGGCUGUCUGAAGCUUGGUGGCUGCUAGAGCUUGGUGGCAUGCUAGAGCUUGGUGGUUGGGUAGAGCUUGGUGGCCUGCUAGAGCUUGGUGUCCUACUAGAUCUUGGUGGUUGACUGAAGCUUGGUGGCCUGCUAGAGCUUAGUGGCUGGCUAAAGCUUGGUGGCCUGCUAGAACUUGCUGCGUGGCUAGAGCUUCCAGGUUGUCCCAUUCCAUCUUAACAAUAAAGGAUAUUAAAUAUAUAUUAUAAAUAUCAGAAUUUAAUUAUUGAAUUAAAAGAUAUGAGUGCAUUACCUGAGCUUUACAGAGAGUUCUGCUAUGACCAAUUUGAUGACAUUUGGAGCAAGAAAUUUUCAGUCCUUUCCAGGAUAGCUUCCCAUAUUUCUUCUUAGGCUCAUUCUUCCUUUUUUUCUAUUCUUUCCUGGUCUGCUAGGCAUUCGUCUAGGCUCAUGAGGAUCAAUCACUACACCACUUGUGUUAGGCUACAUUUCCAUAUUAGAUAUUGGCUGAAGAAAGUAGUCAUAAGCCUUCAAGAAUGUAUCUUUCUUAUACCACUCUUCCACAUAAAAUUCAGGCUCUAUACCUUUAUGCUGAUAAGCCAAUACAGCAUGUUGACAUAGUAUGCCUCUCAAUUUCCAGCUUCUGCAAGUGCAAGUCCUUGUCCUAAUAUUAACUAUAUGCCUAUAAGGACCAUCUAAAAUUCCAUACCCAAUCUGUCCAUUGAACCUCACUGUGCAAUUUCUAGCCAUAUCUUUAUUUUCUUCAAGUACUAGCAAAGCCAUAAGAGAGAUGUCUGAAAUGCAGGUAUUAACAAACUUCCUCAUUUCAACAUUUCUAUCCAUUAUCUUAUGUCUAAUCUCCUCUAACAUACAGAUUAUAGAUUUAUGUCUAACAGCUAAAAUUCAUGAAUUAAAAGUCUCACACAUAUUAUUCUCAACAAUGUCACAUUUAGAAUACUCCCUAAAAUAUGCCCUGCACCAUGAUUUUUUUCAUAAUGUAAUAAGUCCUCACAAAUAUCCUUACCAAGUUGACUGAGUUUGCCCAUCUCAUCCAAAAACUUCACUUCAAAACUGGAUUUAGCACACCUCUAAAAUUAUUUUCUUCUUUCUUCUCCUCUCCAGAUCUGAUGUCAAUUGGACCAGAUGUAUCUUGCACACCACCUCAUUUCACAAUCUGGUAACAACUCAAGUAUAGUAGGUACAAGACCUUACAUCAGUAUAAAUACAAAAUAAAAACACAAAAUAUAUGAACAUGGAAUGUAUAGUAAAUAAAUAGAAGACAUCAAAAUUAAAUUUUAAAAAGUAGACUAACCUUUUGCAUAUCUGACAUGACAGACAGAUCAUGUUCAAUGCCUAAGUUCAAAUCUUGAAUCAAGUGGUUAAUGAAGAAACUCCAGCUAUUUUGUCUUUUGAUCAACCACUGCUCAGGCUAUUGGAUACAUUUGAUUAUUUCCAUUUCUCCCAACUGCAACUAACAAUUCACCCUUGCAAGAACCUUUCAAAAAACAACCAUCUAACCCAAUAAUUUUUCUGCACCCUGCCAGCCAGCCUCUCUUUAAUGCAUCAAAGCACAAAUAAAAAUAAAUAAAUAGAUUUUUUCCAAGUUGAGACUCUCUAUCUAUCCUCACCCAACAAGAACUGUCAGGAUUAAUAUGUUUUAUCAUGUCUGCAUAGUCACACAACCUUGAAAAUUCCAUCUUCCAAUCACCCAAGAAUUCUUUAAUGAUUCUAUGCUUUGCCUUGCUACAAAUAGUUUUUUCCACAUACAAACCCAAUUUUUUUCUCACCAAUUCCUGAAUUUCCCACAGUUUUAUAUAAGGUUGUAAAGUUAUUUCAUCUUUGAACUUACUUACAAUAAAUUUAGAUGUGCACAAUUUAUUUUUAUAGUAGUAGUGCAUACAUGUACAGGAUAGUAGUGCUUGACAACAGAGUCACCAGAAUGCUUAUCAAUACUAGCAAACAACAACCAUUUACAUUUCUUGCCCUUACACCUAACUCUAACUCUAUGUUUCUCAUUAGGCUUAAGCUUCAAUCUAACUUUGUAUUCAACAGCAUACUCAACCACAACCUUUCUAAAUUGCUUAGCAUUUUCAAAUAUCAUACCAAGCUCAAAUAUAGCCACAACACAAUCAGAAUCAAAUCUUACUUUUUUUACUUUUCCUUUUUGCUGAUAAAUCAACACCCCUGACAGUUUCAGGUUCCAGUCCAUCAGCACUAUCAUCACUAUCAACUUCAAAGCUAUCUAUAUACUUAUCAUCUCCCCCUAAUCUUCUACUGUAUCUAGCAGUCUUAUUCCUUCCAAUAUCUUCAAAUCCCCUAUCAACACCUGCUGAUCCAAGUUUUAUUUUUUCAUUUUGGACAGAUUUCUUUUGUUUCACACAGUUUCUCCUUUCAUUUCUAAGAGUUCUUAACUCUUCAUCAUCCUCAGAAUCGUCAUCUUCUGGUAUAUUAAACUCUUGAGAAUCAACACUACUAUCAAGAUCUAUUUCAGCCCCUUCUAGAUCUGAGAGUUCAUCUGCACCAGAUUCUAUAUCUAUGUUGUCAGUUUGGGUAGGUUCCUCAUGUAACCCUUCAACAUUAAUAUCAUGAACUGUUGAUAUGUUCUUACCCACAUUACUAUUUUCACCAACCACAUUACUACUUUGAUCACCUACUGUACCACAAAGAAAACCAGAUGGGACCUCAUCUUCUACCACUUCUACCUCAUCCACAACAUGGUUCAUAUACAAGUCUAAAAAGUCCCCAUCUUCUAGGUCUUCAACAAGACUUACCAAAGUCAAGUCAUUUUCUACUUCAAUAAAGACUUUCUUUUUAGGGUCUUUAAAGUAGAACCCACCAACAGUCAUAUACCCAAAUUCUUUAGUAUAAUAAAACAACUUGAAUAUAGAAAAGUGGUCUUUGUUCGUACUUACAUAUUCCACCUCACUUUCUCCUAUGUAGUGUGGACCAUAUUCUUCAUCAGAAACAAACUUGCCACCAUGGUGAAAAUGAGUUGUAAUAAUAAUAUUAGCCAUUAGAUUCCUGAAACAAAAUUCCAAAAAUACCUGACAAGUUAUGAAUAGUAAAAACCCUAAAAAAAUCCUAGCUUUUUUCGGAUAUUCCCAAACUACAAUUACUAACGUAAUAUACUAACAAAGAACUAAUAAAUCAUUUACAACAACAAGACAUGACAAAAAUGUGACAAUAUUGACAUUUGCAACAUACCUGAGUGCGAUUCAAACACAAAACAAUAACAAUUUUUUAGAUCCAACUCCAGAUUCUUUGCAACCAAUAAAGAAAUGUUGAAAUCAGUGUCAAACUUGAACUAAUCACUCAAAAACACUAUGUAACUUUUUAUUAUACAACAAACGAAGCAUAAAUUAGUAGUAUUAGGAGUGAAAUCGCAAUUUUAGGGUUUCUGAUAGAUUUAGGGAUGUGUAUGAGGGAUUUGACGUUAUAAGGAGGGAAACGAAGUAGAAAUUAUCUUUAUGUAUUAAUUAAAAAAAAGGUGGGGUGUAAAAUAUAAUUGGUUAUAAUUGGUCAAAAUCUACACGUAGACGAUGACUACAUACACGCACUUAACACGUUAAAAAAGAAGGCUUUAAAAAGGUGUCAUGUCGGACAAUUGAGCUCAGUUGAAACCAUUUAUGAAGGGGUAAAGGGUUCAAUAGGUAUCCGUCUUAGUUGAGGUGUCUAUACGGAAAAAGUGAAAUAGUUAAGGAAUCUCUCUAUAUAUAUAGCCUUAAUAUUUUGACAAAUUAACCUUUUGGGUCCCACCUUUCGGAGAAUUCUUUCUUAUUUUUUCCUCUUCAUUUUCUUUUCUGUCUCAUUGUCAUUUAACUUUUUUUUCUUCAACAAAUAAUGUUUUGUGCUUUUGCUCUUUCUUUUUGGGUUAUUUUUUACUUAUGGUUUUCUUUAUUUUUCUUCAUUUACCCUAUUUCUUUCCAAUUUUUUUUAGUACUCUUGAUACAAGUAAAUUGAAGGUUUUUCUUUUUCCUUUAAUUUUUUAUUUGUCAAUAUUUAUAUGCAAAUUAAAUGAUACUUACUUUUUUAUUUAUUUUUUUAGUUUAUUUUAAAAAUAUUAUUUCUUUGAUUUUUAGAUAGUAAGGUAAUAUUGUUUCCAUUAGUUAGUGUCUAGUUAGAUUUUGUAAUUAUUUUAAUCCGAAAUAUAAUUUUUGAUAUAUAUUUAAUGAUGUGACAGUUCCUAAAUUUCCAAGAAAAGUUAUUUUAAAAAUUAAAAUCAAUAGUUAGAUUUAUUUAGGACCAACUCAUUCUAAAUUCAAUUCAAUUCUUGAAAGACCGCCUGGAAAUAAUUUUUCUAUAUAGAAAAUUAUCUUAAUGAUUAAAAAAAAAGAUGAUUGCUCUUCCAUUUUUAACAUGCUAAGUAUUAUACAUGUCCUAAUAACAUUGAACCAUGAUAAAUAAUAUUAUAUAAAUUCAAUUAUAAAAAACAGAUUUAUCACUUAUCAAAUUUAAUUUUAAAUUUUCGAUAUUCAAAUUUUUCAACACCAACAAAAAGAGAGUAUAAUAAAAAAUAGAAAUUAUUGUCAUGAUUGAAUGGCCAAAAUUUUAUUUUCUUUUUUUUAACAAAUAUGAACAAAUAAUAGUUGGGAUGAAAAAAAAGAUUCAUUCUACUUAGUACCGAAACAGGAGGAAGAAAAAUCAAUUUGUGAAAAAAGACAAAGAAAGAAUAAAAAACAGUAAACAAAAAAGUAACCAAAAAAAAAGAGCAAAUAAUGUUUUGCCCCAAAAAAGUUAAUGAUCGAAAAAGUAAAAUAAAUAAAUGAAUAUAGAAAAUGAUCUGAUAGUGGGACCCCAAAGUCCAUUUGUCAAAAAAUUAAAGACCUCAUAUUAAAAUUUUACAUAUACAAACUAAAAGCAUCUCGUCUCAUCUCCCACUUCUAGAAGGUUGUACUACUAAUUAGGCCUCCAGGAAACAGAGAAGUGUGGUACAAAAAUUAAUUCGUCUGUCUGCUCUCUUUCUAUCCCUAUAAAAUUCAAUUCUCUCAAUAAUUUCGCAUGUGAUUUGCCCCACUGUGUCUGUACAUAGUAUGUCCUCCUACUUUGCAUCCUUGGAUGAAUACUGGACCUUUAAAUUGAAUCCAGUUCCUUGCUUUCCAGAUGUAAUACACCAUAGUCCCCCAUAAUGCAGCUGCCGCUUCCUUCUUAAACUUCUUCCAAUGCUCUCUUCUAAUCAGCUCAAAUGUAGUCUUCACAUCUCCUGCGGACAGUGAAAUAUUGGAUUAUUAUAUGAGUUCAGCUCUUACCAGUGCAGCAUAUAUAGCCACAGUCAACAAAUAUGUGGCUACUACGCUCUCCAUUGUAGAUGAUUGAAAUAGGCGGCAGUUGACAUUUUCUAUGUACAUGUUCAUAUGUAGUAAUCUUUCCUUCGUAAGCAAUCUGUUCAGCAAGGUAACCACUAGUAAUUGAAUACUUUAGCAGUAAGGAUGAAUUGCCCCCAUGCAUCAGUGUUUCAUUCUAUCCCUUAUAAAAUUUAUUUUCCUCCAACACCAGCUACUUGUUAUUUUCGUUUGUACUUUGGGUACACAGAAUCAGUAUAUGCAGAACAAUAACUUCAACUAGAGUUCAAGUAUAAACAAGAACACAAUGAAGUAUAUCAAAUACUCUCUAACACAAGAUCGAAAUGACCUUUUCAAGAGGUGUAUUUUAUUUUUUCAGAAAUUAAGAUGAAACAGAAAAUAGCCAAGUCAUCCGAAUUCACGAAGUUUCUUUAAGGAAAUAAUUUCCCUCACUGUACCCGAGGUUAUAGAAUUUUUCCUCCUAGAAUAAAAUGGCUAAAUAGAUCAAUUGUAGCGGUACCUCAAACGGUUGGAAUAUCUUCGAACGCACAGGACGUUUUGAUUGAUCACAUAGAGUAAUUUGGAAGACAAGAAGUAAUUUUGUAUUCUGAAAUUUUCAUAUCAAAACCUGUGGAUGAAAGCAGGUUUAUAUAGCCAUAACAUGUCUCUUCUGAAAAUAGGCAAUGGUUCACUCCAAAGGUUACACCUUUGCUGUAAGUUCAUGUCUGUUCAUCAAAGAUUGCAUCUUUUCCUGAAUAGUCAUCUCAUUUCAUGAAUCAGUGUGUCACUUCAUUGAAGGAUUACAUCCUUCUGAAGCAUCAUUUCGAACCAUUGCAACUCAGUUUAAAACAAUAUAUCAUUUCUGAAGCACCAGUUCAAAAACAAUGCAUCAGUUCACUUGAAACAGUGCAACUGUUACUGCAUCUAUAUAUAAAUGGAGAUCCUAAACACUGCAGAAAAAUUUUACUGCGUUUUUCCUUGGCAUUCUUCGGAAUUCAAAUAAAGUUUGUCCAAAAAAAUAGAUCUCAUCGAUCAAUCAUUAUCCAAAUCCAAAGCCAAGCGAGCAACGAUGAAAAUGGCGCAAGACAUCUAUUAUUUCUUGCCUCACUUGCCAUGUGGAAUAAAUGUUCUUGAUUAUAAAUACUUUCAAGUACUCUUCUUCCACCAAUGUGGGAGAAAGAGUAAAUUAUCUAAUUUGGAAGUACACUUUUCAUUUUAGUGUCUCCUUCCCCUCCAUCAUUUUACUCUCCAUUUUUUCAUUCACACUUCUUUCAUAUACUAUGAACCCAACACUACUAUCUGCUGGCUUCUGUGUCCAGAUAGUGUCAGUUUUGAUACAUAUUUCGGGUGCCUACUUCAGCCCCAAAGACUCCUUCUUUACAACUACUUUCCACAAAACCUUGCCUACCGAUGCCAAGUUCCAAUUCUCACACAAUAUUCAAACCACCCUGCUUUUUGGAGACACUUUAUCCCAAGCUACUAGUGCUACCUUCCUUUUCCCUCUAUAAUACCCCACAAGUAAUCUCUAAAUGUCUUAUCUACCUCCUUCACUAUACUAGGGGGAAGGAGAAAAACUGCAUUUUAUUCAUCCAUCUGUCAAGACCGGUUUUACCCCAUACUACCAAAGCGGCCAGCAAAAUUUUGACCAUACUGCUUUGAGCAAAUCUUCCUGAGCAAAAUAAAUGGUCUGAAAUUUCCACUUUCUUAGAGUGGGGCAAGCAAUACAAGAAUCUUGAUUGGAAGAUUAUAUCAAAAUUUUGAGACCUUUUCAUCAGUUGGUACCCUGUCGUAUGAAGCUCCCCACCUUACAAAUGUCAUCUUGAAAAAUAUUAUUGUUUAUGCCACAUUUUUUGGGCACUUACUUGAUUGUUCUUUCUUCUAAAUUAGGAGCUCCCAUGCUGAGGCUAGUGAGAACCUGCCAUUGAUGUUAGCCAACCCUAGUACUCUAUCUGGAGCUGCAUGGAAUAAGGUAAUGUGGUGUUGUGCUACCAUGCCAUAUUGCCAAGUGACAUUGUCAAGUGCCUCCUUAAGAAGGGAUAUUUCCGGCUUUUGCUCCAUCAGGUAAAUGACUAUAGAGCAUUCCCGUUUUUGUUCAGUUGUCAUACCAGAAUGAUGUUUUUACCUUUCCAGGCAGGCAUGCUAUAUUUUCCUUAACUUCAUGCUUUAAGUCACAGAGGGCUCUCCAGCCGUGUGACUGUUGCCCUGAUAAUUUUCAUGGAUCGUACAUGUGAAAUAUUUGGUUUGGGUGGAAAUGAAUUGACUCUCAUCUAAGAGAAAACACACUGCUAGUUAAUUAUAUUAUGUCGCAGCAUUAAUGGAGACACUCUUUAGAUGCCCGGUCCCCUUGCCAGCCACUAGAACUUGGGAGGGCAAUUUCUGUUGAUCCUUGACAAGCCAAAACAAUUUCCAAAUUAAUCAUUUAAAAAAAAAAAACAUUACAGAGCCAAGAAGCCAUCAUCUAACACAAGAUCUAGCAACACUUAGUAUAGAAAAUUCACAAUCUUUCAUUGAUAUAAACAAUUGAAAGAGCAAUUACACGAGAACAUCAAAUUAGACAUUAGAGUCAAUGAGUUCUCCAUUCACUAACUCUCUGUAAGCAGCAACAGGCCAGAUGAAGCCUCUCCAGACGAGCCUGUUAGCCAAUGGAACAUCAAUGAUGAUCUCCUUCAUUGUUGGCUUCUUCUCAUCUCUUAUUGCAAUCAAGUAGCUCCUUCCUACCCACCCAAUCCAUCCAGCAAUGUACAAGAAGAGGAUCCCAGGAGUGAUGAACUCACCCCAGUGCCUCUGGUCUCCACUCACUAUCAGGUGUGGCAGUCCAUCCGAUCCGCACAACAGUCCUUGUUUCGCAUAGUUGUCAAAUCUGCAAUGUCAAUAGGUGAGUGACUUUGUAAGUGAAAUAAAACAUGGACUCGAGUAUCAAGGAGUUGGAAUCAAAUGGAAUGUUCUAUUUUUCUAUGUUUACUUAGUCUAUGUCAAUGACUUAUGCAAGGAAAAGUUGAAAAUCUGUUACAAAAUAACUUGCCAUUCUUUCAUAAGCAAAUUUACUUCGUGCGCUCCUAUAGGGAGAAGGUGUUGAAGGUGGCCUCGUUUUCACACUUUUGGUUGGAUAAACGGAAGCCAUCAUCUAACACAAGAUCUAGCAACACUUAGUAUAGAAAAUUCACAAUCUUUCAUUGAUAUAAACAAUUGAAAGAGCAAUUACACGAGAACAUCAAAUUAGACAUUAGAGUCAAUGAGUUCUCCAUUCACUAACUCUCUGUAAGCAGCAACAGGCCAGAUGAAGCCUCUCCAGACGAGCCUGUUAGCCAAUGGAACAUCAAUGAUGAUCUCCUUCAUUGUUGGCUUCUUCUCAUCUCUUAUUGCAAUCAAGUAGCUCCUUCCUACCCACCCAAUCCAUCCAGCAAUGUACAAGAAGAGGAUCCCAGGAGUGAUGAACUCACCCCAGUGCCUCUGGUCUCCACUCACUAUCAGGUGUGGCAGUCCAUCCGAUCCGCACAACAGUCCUUGUUUCGCAUAGUUGUCAAAUCUGCAAUGUCAAUAG
rnacentral:lncRNA from 1 species